UCUGUAUUAGGGCAAACCUAUCAAAAGAUUGGGACGCAAAACUAUACGGUCUAAAGUGCUAAAUCAGCACUAUGAUAACCAGAUGGCCAA
rnacentral:ncRNA from 1 species